AUCUAGCAAUUAUGCAGUGAUGGACUGAUGGAACGGUCUGGAAAGAAAGGUGUGUUGAUCAGGCUUUAGUCUUUGAUCUUGAGUAAUGGCGAUUACGCCACUGUUCACAUCUGCACAUGAUCGUCGAUGGAUGCGUCCAAGGGUUUUCUGAGUUCCUACGUUAGUAUUCGCUAGCUUGUGUUUGAGGAAAUGUAGGACGUCCUAGCUAAUAACCUCUCCCGGCCCCAUCUUUC
rnacentral:lncRNA from 1 species